GUUUGCCAGAUGAUGUUGGUCUGGAAACAUCAGAAAUUCAAGCUUUACCAGAGUACAUAGCAGAUCAAGCAAAAUCUGACAGUGAAAUUAAUUUGCCUGUUGACUUUGGUUUGGAAACAUCAGAAAUUGAAGCUUCACCAGAGAACAUAACAGAUCAAGGAAAAACUGACAGCAAAAAGGAAGUGUACCAGGGGGAAAUAAAUGUCCCUGAGGAUGUUGGUUUGGAAACAAC